AUGUCGCCCAAUUCUGGCACCAUCCGAUGGUGCCCAGCCCACCCACGGCUUCCUCUCGCUAUGCUCUUUAUUAUCCACCGCAUCGAUUUGAUUUACCCCGUAUCAUGUGGUCGCCGACAUCACUUCCACUUUCUAGGGUUUUGGUGGUGGGGUGGACCUCAUCGUCUAUCUCCUGCUCGACCUCGUGGCGGUGGUGAUAGCACGUGUGAGAUGCUCCUCCCCGACAAGGUCGUAGCUGGAUCCCCUUCUUUCCACCGCAGGAUCCGCUCCUCUCCCACGAGGCCGCUGCCGGAUCCCCUCCUCUCCGACAGCAACGCCUACAAAUCCGCUCGUCCUCGACAACAGCAACCAACUUCGAAGUGGCCGAUCCUCUCCCCAUCGCCGCCGCCCAUGAGGAUCCAGAACGAACUCCCCAAAGCGCUCUUCAUGGUGCUCAUGCUCAUCAUGCCUGCCAUCCUGCAGGACGACGACUACCACGACUUCGCUGACUUGCGGUCCCUCCUCCUCGGUAACCAACCAACCCCAACCCCACCCCCGCUCCCUGUACAACAAUCGCCUCCCAUGAAUCUUUUCUCCCGGGCCAUGCUUUGCCUCUGCCUCUACCCAGGGCGGGAGGAUUUGGGGACGCAAUUAGAGCUUGACGUGGGAGAUUGGGGAGCAGGUGAAGCAUUGGUUUGGCCGAGUUAUGUUCUGUUGGCGUGCUUUUUGGUUACUGCUACACCAAGCAAAUGUUUCCGAUUGGUCAGCGACUGCAGUCCUAGGGUCCUAUCCAUAUGGGAGACUCUUCCAUUGAGGAGAUCGAGGAUCUGGCUGGAUUUGUGCGUCUUCGAUCUGAUGCGUUUGUGCACGCAUGUGUUGAAUAGUGUCCUCGGAUCUGGUGUAGGGCGCCAAGGAGAAGAAGCUCAAGGUCAAGGGCUCUGUCAGGAUGGCCACCAAGGUGCUCAACAUCACCACCAGGAAGUCCCCAUAUGGAGAAGAGGAGUUGGAUGUGAAUCAUUUGUGAGCUGA
rnacentral:rRNA from 1 species